UGGCGAACGGGUGAGUAACACGUGGGCAACCUGCCCAAAAGAGGGGGAUAACACUUGGAAACAAGUGCUAAUACCGCAUAACCAUAGUUACCGCAUGGUAACUAUGUAAAAGGUGGCUAUACUACCGCUUUUGGAUGGGCCCGCGGCGCAUUAGCUAGUUGGUAGGGUAAAGGCUUACCAAGGCAAUGAUGCGUAGCCGAAUUGAGAGGUUGAUCGGCCACAUUGGGACUGAGACACGGCCCAAACUCCUACGGAAGGCAGCAG
rnacentral:rRNA from 1 species